GACGAACGCUGGCGGCGUGCCUAAUACAUGCAAGUCGAGCGAGCUGAACCAACAGAUUUACUUCGGUAAUGACGUUGGGAACGCGAGCGGCGGAUGGGUGAGUAACACGUGGGGAACCUGCCCCUCAGUCUGGGAUACCACUUGGAAACAGGUGCUAAUACCGGAUAAUAAAGCAGAUCGCAUGAUCAGCUUUUGAAAGGCGGCGUAAGCUGUCGCUAAGGGAUGGCCCCGCGGUGCAUUAGCUAGUUGGUAGGGUAACGGCCUACCAAGGCAAUGAUGCAUAGCCGAGUUGAGAGACUGAUCGGCCACAUUGGGACUGAGACACGGCCCAAACUCCUACGGGAGGCAGCAGUAGGGAAUCUUCCACAAUGGACGAAAGUCUGAUGGAGCAACGCCGCGUGAGUGAAGAAGGUUUUCGGAUCGUAAAGCUCUGUUGUUGGUGAAGAAGGAUAGAGGUAGUAACGG
rnacentral:rRNA from 1 species